rnacentral:rRNA from 1 species
AUGAACGCUGGCGGCGUGCCUAAUACAUGCAAGUCGAGCGAACAGACGAGGAGCUUGCUCCUCUGACGUUAGCGGCGGACGGGUGAGUAACACGUGGAUAACCUACCUAUAAGACUGGGAUAACUUCGGGAAACCGGAGCUAAUACCGGAUAAUAUAUUGAACCGCAUGGUUCAAUAGUGAAAGACGGUUUUGCUGUCACUUAUAGAUGGAUCCGCGCCGCAUUAGCUAGUUGGUAAGGUAACGGCUUACCAAGGCAACGAUGCGUAGCCGACCUGAGAGGGUGAUCGGCCACACUGGAACUGAGACACGGUCCAGACUCCUACGGGAGGCAGCAGUAGGGAAUCUUCCGCAAUGGGCGAAAGCUUGACGGAGCAACGCCGCGUGAGUGAUGAAGGUCUUUGGAUCGUAAAACUCUGUUAUUAGGGAAGAACAAAUGUGUAAGUAACUAUGCACGUCUUGACGGUACCUAAUCAGAAAGCCACGGCUAACUACGUG